GCACCCGUAGCUCAACUGGAUAGAGCACCGGUCUUCGGAACCGGGGGUUGGGGGUUCGAAUCCCUCCGGGUGUAC
rnacentral:tRNA from 3 species